rnacentral:rRNA from 1 species
CCCUUAGAUGUUCUGGGCCGCACACGCGCUACACUGAAGGAGGCAGCGUGUACUCCUGGAUCGAAAGAUUUGGGUAACCCGCGAAUCUCCUUCGUGCUAGGGAUUGAGAUUUGCAAUUAUCCUUCAUGAACGAGGAAUUCCCAGUAAGUGCAAGUCAUAAGCUUGCGCUGACUACGUCCCUGCCCUUUGUACACACCGCCCGUCGCUACUACCGAUUGAAUGAUUUAGUGAGGACUUCGGACUGGGACCGAUGCGGCUUUCGGGCUGCGUCGGUAUUCUGGAAAGAUGUCCAAACUGUAUCAUUUAGAGGAAGUAAAAGUCGUAACA